GGCCCUCAUCUAGGCCCUCAUCUAGGCCCUCACGACAAGCUGAAGCAGACACUGUGCGGGCCCUGUACAAACGGACCCUAGUCCAAAGCAUCCAAUUGAAUGACCUCCUCAUAGAGCACCAGAAGCUGUUGAUGGAAAAAACAAAGCUGGAGGUGGAGAAAUUGGAGAGAGAAAGACAGGUAAUUUUGUAACAUUCAGUAAUUUUUUUUCAAGUCAAAUGAAAGGUGCAUAAGGUGACCUUUACAUCUUUUAGGAUACCUAAAACACAAAUCCCUUUUGUCUUUAA